GGUAAAUAACCUUGUUUUCUCCUUCAUCAGUGGCUGCUACCAAACCCCGCUCUUGGAAUGUGGCCAACAGUCUGUCUGGUGGAGGGCGCUGCUAAUUGGAGAGAGACCAUAAACCUCUCUGUCAAAGAGGGCAUAUGACCUUCCCUUCAAGUCUAAACAAUAAAGCUGGCGAACUGCAGACUGCACUCUCUCGCGGGCUGCCCUGCGGAUUCCCUAAAUAGGAACAGGAUGAAGGCCAGGCUUAAGAGGUUACCAUAGCUCUGCUCUCACACUUUGAGGAAUCGGUCACUCCACUUCCCAGUAUAACUUGUUUCAAUUACUCUCGACAAUCUAUUUAGAGGAGAGCAGCUUGCAGAGAGAACUCAUUGUCUAAUCUAAAUGAGGAAGCAAUUAUUACUUGCUGCAGUCUAAUGUGCUUUGAGACUGUCAGGUCAAAUAUCAACCAGAUUUCAUAUAACCUUACUUUGCACUUGGGAAGAUAUAUAUCCUUUUAAAGACAAUUAUGUAUGCUUGUUUUCUGAAUCCCCCCCCCCCUUUUAUUCUAAUAAGUUUACAAAAUUAAGGUUCCCC
rnacentral:lncRNA from 1 species